AUUGAACGCUGGCGGCAGGCCUAACACAUGCAAGUCGAGCGGGGUUUUCGGACCUAGCGGCGGACGGGGGAGUAAUGCGUAGGAAGCUACCCGAUAGAGGGGGAUACCAGUUGGAAACGACUGUUAAUACCGCAUAAUGUCUACGGACCAAAGUGUGGGACCUUCGGGCCACAUGCUAUCGGAUGCGCCUACGUGGGAUUAGCUAGUUGGUGAGGUAAUGGCUCACCAAGGCGACGAUCCCUAGCUGGUUUGAGAGGAUGAUCAGCCACACUGGAACUGAGACACGGUCCAGACUCCUACGGGAGGCAGCAGUGGGGAAUAUUGGACAAUGGGCGCAAGCCUGAUCCAGCCAUGCCGCGUGUGUGAAGAAGGCCUUCGGGUUGUAAAGCACUUUCAGUAGGGUGGAAGCGUUGUGUGUUAAUAGUACACAGCGUUGACGUUACCUACAGAAGAAGCACCGGCUAACUCUGUGCCAGCAGCCGCGGUAAAAC
rnacentral:rRNA from 1 species